rnacentral:rRNA from 1 species
AACGUACGCUGGCGGCACGCCUAACACAUGCAAGUCGAACGAAGUAGCAAUACUUAGUGGCAGACGGGUGAGUAACAUGUAGGUAUCUGCCCUUUGGCCUGGAAUAACACGAGGAAACUUGUGCUAAUACCGGAUAAGUCUUUACGGAGAAAGCUUUAUGCACCAUUGGAUGAGCCUGCACUUGAUUAGUUUGUUGGUGGGGUAAUGGCCUACCAAGACUGUGAUCAAUAGCUGAUUUGAGAGGAUGAUCAGCCACAUUGGGACUGAGACACGGCCCAAACUCCUACGGGAGGCAGCAGUGGGGAAUCUUGCACAAUGGAGGAAACUCUGAUGCAGCGAUGCCGCGUGAGUGAAGAAGGCCCUUGGGUUGUAAAGCUCUUUCGUCGGGGAAGAAAAUGACUGUACCCGAAUAAGAAGGUCCGGCUAACUUCGUGCCAGCAGCCGCGGUAAUACGAAGGGACCUAGCGUAGUUCGGAAUUACUGGGCUUAAAGAGUUCGUAGGUGGUUGAAAAAGUUAGUGGUGAAAUCCCAGAGCUUAACUCUGGAACUGCCAUCAAAACUUUUCAGCUAGAGUAUGAUAGAGGAAAGCAGAAUUUCUAGUGUAGAGGUGAAAUUCGUAGAUAUUAGAAAGAAUACCAAUUGCGAAGGCAGCUCUCUGGAUCAUUACUGA